UACGUAGGGGGCAAGCGUUGUCCGGAUUCAUUGGGCGUAAAGAGCGUGUAGGCGGCCAGGUAGGUCGGUUGUGAAAACUGGAGGCUCAACCUCGAGCUGUCGGCGGAAACCAUCUGGCUAGAGUCCGGAAGAGGAGAGUGGAAUUCCUGGUGUAGCGGUGAAAUGCGCAGAUAUCAGGAAGAACACCUAUGGCGAAGGCAGCUCUCUGGGACGGUACUGACGCUGAGACGCGAAAGCGUGGGGAGCGAACAGG
rnacentral:rRNA from 1 species